rnacentral:rRNA from 1 species
CGUGGCGAAAGCCGGGUCUGGACCAUAUUGACUCUGAGGCGCAAAUCUAGGGGAGCAAACAGGAUUAGAUAGCGCCGUAGUCGUAUCCCUAAACGAUGGAUGCUUGGUGUGGUUGGUACCCAAUCCCAGUGUUCCGCAGCUGACGUGAUAAGCAUCCGGCCUGGAGAGUACGGUCGCAAGUCUGAAACUCAAAGGAAUUGUUGGGGGCCCGCACAAGCGGUGGAGCAUGUGGUUCAAUUCGACGCAACUUGAAGAACCUUACGUGAGCUUGAAGCGCAGUGGACCGGGGUAGAAAUAUCCCUUUCUCGCAUGAGAUUGUUGCGGAGUUGAUGCAUGGCGGUCGUCAGCUCGUGUCGUGAGAUGUUGGGUUAAGUCCCGCAACGAGCGCAACCCUUAUCCCUAGUUUCCAUCGGGUCAAGCCGGGCAAUGUAGUGAAACCGCCCCGGAUAAUUGGGAGGAAGGUGGGGAUGACGUCAAGUCCUCAUGGCCUUUAUGUCCAGGGCUACACACGUGCUACAAUGGUCGGUACAAACAGUUGCAAACCCGCGAGGGGGAGCUAAUCGGAAAAAUCCGGCCUCAGUUGGGAUUGGAGUCUGCAACCCGACUCCAUGAAGCUGGAAUCGCUAGUAAUCGCGGAUCAGAACGCCGCGGUGAAUACGUUCCCGGGCCUUGUACACACCGCCCGUCACAUCACGAAAGUGGCAUGCACUAGAAGCCGGCGUGCUAACUCGCAAGAGAGGCAACCGUCCAAGGUAUGGUUCAUGAUUGGGGUGAAGUCGUAACAAGGUAACC